rnacentral:rRNA from 1 species
UACGAAGGGGGCUAGCGUUGUUCGGAAUUACUGGGCGUAAAGCGAACGUAGGCGGUGUUCCAUGUCAGAGGUGAAAGCCUGGGGCUCAACUCCAGAAUUGCCUUUGAAACGGGGACGCUUGAGUCCGAGAGAGGAUGGCGGAAUUCCUAGUGUAGAGGUGAAAUUCGUAGAUAUAGGUAAGAACACCGGUGGCGAAGGCGGCCAUCUGGCUCGGUACUGACGCUCAGGUUCGAAAGCGUGGGGAGCAACAGG